rnacentral:misc_RNA from 1 species
UACGUAGGGGGCUAGCGUUGCUCGGAAUUACUGGGCGUAAAGGGCGCGUAGGCGGAUCGUUAAGUCAGGGGUGAAAUCCCGGGGCUCAACCUCGGAAUUGCCCUUGAUACUGGCGAUCUUGAGUAUGAGAGAGGUAUGUGGAACUCCGAGUGUAGAGGUGAAAUUCGUAGAUAUUCGGAAGAACACCAGUGGCGAAGGCGACAUACUGGCUCAUUACUGACGCUGAGGCGCGAAAGCGUGGGGAGCAAACAGG